rnacentral:rRNA from 1 species
AGAGUUUGAUCCUGGCUCAGGAUGAACGCUGGCGGCGUGCCUAAUACAUGCAAGUCGAGCGAACGGACGAGAAGCUUGCUUCUCUGAUGUUAGCGGCGGACGGGUGAGUAACACGUGGAUAACCUACCUAUAAGACUGGGAUAACUUCGGGAAACCGGAGCUAAUACCGGAUAAUAUUUUGAACCGCAUGGUUCAAAAGUGAAAGACGGUCUUGCUGUCACUUAUAGAUGGAUCCGCGCUGCAUUAGCUAGUUGGUAAGGUAACGGCUUACCAAGGCAACGAUGCAUAGCCGACCUGAGAGGGUGAUCGGCCACACUGGAACUGAGACACGGUCCAGACUCCUACGGGAGGCAGCAGUAGGGAAUCUUCCGCAAUGGGCGAAAGCCUGACGGAGCAACGCCGCGUGAGUGAUGAAGGUCUUCGGAUCGUAAAACUCUGUUAUUAGGGAAGAACAUAUGUGUAAGUAACUGUGCACAUCUUGACGGUACCUAAUCAGAAAGCCACGGCUAACUACGUGCCAGCAGCCGCGGUAAUACGUAGGUGGCAAGCGUUAUCCGGAAUUAUUGGGCGUAAAGCGCGCGUAGGCGGUUUUUUAAGUCUGAUGUGAAAGCCCACGGCUCAACCGUGGAGGGUCAUUGGAAACUGGAAAACUUGAGUGCAGAAGAGGAAAGUGGAAUUCCAUGUGUAGCGGUGAAAUGCGCAGAGAUAUGGAGGAACACCAGUGGCGAAGGCGACUUUCUGGUCUGUAACUGACGCUGAUGUGCGAAAGCGUGGGGAUCAAACAGGAUUAGAUACCCUGGUAGUCCACGCCGUAAACGAUGAGUGCUAAGUGUUAGGGGGUUUCCGCCCCUUAGUGCUGCAGCUAACGCAUUAAGCACUCCGCCUGGGGAGUACGACCGCAAGGUUGAAACUCAAAGGAAUUGACGGGGACCCGCACAAGCGGUGGAGCAUGUGGUUUAAUUCGAAGCAACGC